UGCGGAGAUCAUUAUCGAGUUUUGAACGGGUUGUAGCUGGCCUCUCACGAGGCAUGUGCACGCCUGGCUCAUCCACUCUUAACCUCUGUGCACUUUAUGUAAGAGAAAAAAAUGGUGGAAGCUUCCAGGAUCUCGCGAGAGGUCUUUGGUUGAACAAGCCGUUUUUCUUUCUUAUGUUUUACUACAAACGCUUCAGUUAUAGAAUGUCAACUGUGUAUAACACAUUUAUAUACAACUUUCAGCAACGGAUCUCUUGGCUCUCGCAUCGAUGAAGAACGCAGCGAAAUGCGAUAAGUAAUGUGAAUUGCAGAAUUCAGUGAAUCAUCGAAUCUUUGAACGCACCUUGCACUCCUUGGUAUUCCGAGGAGUAUGCCUGUUUGAGUCUCAUGGUAUUCUCAACCCCUAAAUUUUUGUAAUGAAGGUUUAGCGGGCUUGGACUUGGAGGUUGUGUCGGCCCUUGUCGGUCGACUCCUCUGAAAUGCAUUAGCGUGAAUCUUACGGAUCGCCUUCAGUGUGAUAAUUAUCUGCGCUGUGGUGUUGAAGUAUUUAUGGUGUUCAUGCUUCGAACCGUCUCCUUGCCGAGACAAUCAUUUGACAAUCUGAGCUCAAAUCAGGUAGGACUACCCGCUGAACUUAAGCAUAUU
rnacentral:rRNA from 1 species